AUGAACGAGCUCGGCGUCCUCUACUGCCACAUGGUGGAGCCGAGGAACGGGACCCUGUGCAGCCUUCUGCCUUUCAGGAAGGCGUUCAAAGGUACAUUCAUCGUGAACGGGGGUUACGACAGGGAGGGAGGAGAUGUGGCUGUCGGCGAUGGCUAUGCCGAUCUGGUCUCGUACGGGCGGCUCUUCCUGGCGAACCCCGACCUGCCGGAGCGGUUCAGGAAGAGGGCGGGCCUGAACGAGUAUGACCGGAGCACGUUCUACACCUCCGAUCCGGUGGUCGGCUACACGGACUACCCUUUCCUUGCUCAGGGGCAGGGGACACGAGUUAGCUAA
rnacentral:rRNA from 1 species